rnacentral:lncRNA from 1 species
CCACAGCAGAGCCUGUUCUCUCUUGAAGCCAUCUGGAAUGGAAAUAAAAGCUGUGCUCCUCUGUGUUUUCAGUGCACUGUAACUUGUACCUCUCCUGUACAGUCUUUGAUGCGACGUCUUUCACUCUGGUGAUUACAUGGGACAUGUCUGCACCUUCUCACCCUCCAAACUGGCUGAGCCAUAAGAAGGAAAGCUGACUGAAGGCAGAGGCUGAGGCUGAGUCCUGUAGCUUCUGCAGGAUUAGCGCAGUGCUGGCCACAUAGCAAGCAUGAUCAUGGAUGAGCCCUCAACAGAUGUGAGAGGUUACAAUCUGUAAGAGCAAUGGCUGAAAUGUUGGCCACUUCACUCAUGAUGUUGAAGUUCCUCUUGGACAGGUAAACAGCUUAUCAUGUCCCUCAAGUUGUACACCAUGAAAAGCUGCCUGCUACCUACAUGCUGAGAACCCACUUGGAGUGACACAGUUCAGAUUAAAGACUUUAUUUCAACAUGGUCUGAAGUGAAUUUGAUGUUCCACUUCUUAGCUCUUUUAGUGAUUAUAUAACUUAUGAGUUGUUUAUUUUUUUUUAAAAGCCUGAAAGUACUAAACAUUUGAAGAAUGAAGUAUCACGAGAUGGGUGUGUGUGUGUGUGUGUGUGUGUGCAUAAUGGCUAAAAAAGUAAAUUUCCUUUAGCUCAUGCUCUGUAUGAAUUGGUCAUCUGUAUACAUUAAAUGUAUAUUUUUGAAGUUCUCUAUGAUAAAUCUGCAUUAGUAACUAUGGCUAUUUGAGCACUUAGGCUUCAGAUAACAUCAAUAUACCUAAAAAAUUUCAAAGCUUUUUAUAAACAUCAAUGCAGACAGUAUUAAUAUCUAUAUAAAACAGGACUUCAGUUUGAGCUUAAUUGAAUUAGUCACUUGGUAUCCGAUGUAGGAGCCUGCUCUUCAGUUUCACUUAAAAGCAAUAGGGAAGGAAAAGAAAGAGGCAUCGAAUGUUCUGUUUUGGCAUCAUUGUAUUUGUUUUACUAAUUUGCUAGUCUCAGAGCCAUUCUCAGAUGAUGCCAUUAAAAGGAGGUGGGAUAUUUGCCAUUUUCCAAGUAAUGAUAGAUGAUAGGAGUGAUCAGUCAUACCCUAUUUUGACCAAUAUAACUCAUUCUAUAGCUGUUUUUUUUGGUCCCUUUAAAGUAAAAUGAUCUUACUUCUUAUUAAAAUAAAAAGGCAUACAUCCUAUAGGGGAAAGUUCACAACACAGAGGUAGUUCCCAAAGGUUUUUAUACUCCCCUCUGAUUAAUAAUUAUUUUCACAAACUAUGCUCAGGUACACCAUGAUUUGGGUUGCUGUAUGAUCUGGAAGCCAAUGUAAAGUGAAUCAUUAUAAAGCGAAUCAUAUUUUCCCAUAGGAGUCUAGUUUUAAUUAGGGGUUUUAUUCCUGACAAAGUGCUCAGCAUCACAUAAA